rnacentral:rRNA from 1 species
GUCCAGACUCCUACGGGAGGCAGCAGUAGGGAAUCUUUCACAAUGGGCGAAAGCCUGAUGGAGCAACGCCGCGUGCAGGAUGAAGGCCUUCGGGUUGUAAACUGCUUUUAUAAGCGAGAAAUAUGAUGGUAACUUAUGAAUAAGGAUCGGCUAACUACGUGCCAGCAGCCGCGGUAAUACGUAGGUGGCAAGCGUUGUCCGGAUUUACUGGGUGUAAAGGGCGUGUAGCCGGGUUGACAAGUCAGAUGUGAAAUCCUGCGGCGUAACCGCAGAACUGCAUUUGAAACUGUUGAUCUUGAGUACUGGAGAGGCAGACGGAAUUUCUAGUGUAGCGGUGAAAUGCGUAGAUAUUAGGAGGAACCCCAGUGGCGAAGGCGACUUUCUGGACUGUACCUGACGCUGAGGCGCGAAAGCGUGGGUAGCGAACGGGAUUAGAUACCCGGGUAA